AUGGGGGCAGGCCUCUUUGGGUACGUCGACAAAACCCUAGAACCACCACCCAAAACAAUCACCAGCAAGAAUGCCGAGGGCAAAGAUCAGGUGGCUGUGAACCCUGCUUAUGCGCCUUGGCUCAUCCAAGAUCAAUAGAUCGUUGCCUAUCUUCUUCGCAAUCUUAAUGAAGUCCUAGUUCAAGUAGCAUCUCUUGAAACCUCCCAUGCCAUCUGGUCCGUCCUCGCCAACAUGUUCUCUGCCCAAUCCCGCUCUCGUUGCAAUCACAUCCGCAUCGCCCUCACCACUGCCCAGAAGGGAACCCAGUCUGCUAUUGCAUACUUCGGCUAUAUG
rnacentral:rRNA from 1 species